rnacentral:lncRNA from 1 species
GUAUAGCUCCUAUCUGCUGGAUUGGAUGCUGCCCAAUUCAAAUUGAUUUUUGCUCAAAUAAAUUUUUAAAGAUUUUACUAUGCCUCAGUUUAUCUUAGCAGUUCUGUUAGUAACAGUAGGAAGAGGGAACCGAGGGCGACCCCCUCCAAAGGCCCCCAGGAGCUACGAGCAACCAGCCGUGGCGCCUGUGGAGGCCCUGAGCUCCGCUGCAGCUUUCUCGCUGCCUCAGCGGGUCGUGGGACAAUAAUGCCAUUACUGUUUGUGCCGGAGAAAGGCAAUUCUAGAAACUCGCAGACCUCUGUCAUCAGAGGGAGCUCAUCCAAAGAUAUCAAGUUGUAAAAUUUUGGUUUUGACAGGAUGUCAAAUAAUUGGAAUCCUACAACAGAUAGCUUUUUAAGACUGACUUCUUUCACUUAACAAUAUGCACUUCAGGUUCCUUCAUGUCUUUUCAUGGCUUAAUAGCUCAAAUCUUUUUAUCACUGAAUGACAUUCCAUUAUAU